rnacentral:rRNA from 1 species
CGAACGNANAACCUCCUUCGGGAGGGGAUUAAUGGCGAACGGGUGAGUAACACGUGGGCAAUCUGCCCUUCACUCUGGGACAAGCCCUGGAAACGGGGUCUAAUACCGGAUACGACACGGGGUCGCAUGACCUCCGUGUGGAAAGCUCCGGCGGUGAAGGAUGAGCCCGCGGCCUAUCAGCUUGUUGGUGGGGUGAUGGCCUACCAAGGCGACGACGGGUAGCCGGCCUGAGAGGGCGACCGGCCACACUGGGACUGAGACACGGCCCAGACUCCUACGGGAGGCAGCAGUGGGGAAUAUUGCACAAUGGGCGAAAGCCUGAUGCAGCGACGCCGCGUGAGGGAUGACGGCCUUCGGGUUGUAAACCUCUUUCAGCAGGGAAGAAGCGAAAGUGACGGUACCUGCAGAAGAAGCGCCGGCUAACUACGUGCCAGCAGCCGCGGUAAUACGUAGGGCGCAAGCGUUGUCCGGAAUUAUUGGGCGUAAAGAGCUCGUAGGCGGCUUGUCACGUCGGAUGUGAAAGCCCGGGGCUUAACCCCGGGUCUGCAUUCGAUA